rnacentral:lncRNA from 1 species
AACCAUUAUGUUCUAAACAUAAUUACAAACCUUCAAGAGUUGUACAAGGCAACUCUCAUUUCUUCAUACAACAUUUGUAAAUGAAGAAUCAUGGCACAUUAAGUGUUCAUGCCUUUGUGCUUUCUUCUCAAGUUCUUUGUUCAUUUAACAAAGAAACAAGCACUAGUGUUUGCAUUGACUAAGGGUUGUUCAAAGCAACUAUUAUUUCUUCAUACAACGAUUUGUAAGUGAAGAACUAAUAACACUAAAAGUGUCCUUGUCAUUUUGCUAAUCUUCAUAAGUUCCUUUGUUCAUUUAACAAAGGAUUAAGCAUUGGUUGUUUGUGUUGUCCUCUUCAUGAUAGACUUAUCUAACAUGUUCUUCCAAUGAUACAUUAUCAUUAGGAAGAUUGUGAGGAUGAGACUACUUAGAUAUAUAUGCAAUCCUUUUAAGACAUUCUUUGGGAUUGUGGUACCAAGUCCGGAAACUAAAACAUUCGGUUUUGUCAAGUGUUGGAUAGCGUUUGCAAAUAUAUUGGUAAACAA